GAGAGGGAGCCAGGAUGGCAGCAGUUAAAAAUAGGGCCAGGCUCUGAUUGGCCGGCAACUGGCACUACAUUCAAAAUACUGCCAGCUCUGUCCCUCCAUGGCUUUCUGCCGGUAACCGUGCCCUGAUCCACGCUGCUGCCACCCGGGCCCCUUGUUAAUGCACAUAUGGACAGCUGCAACCUCUGUCUCCAGCCUACAGCUCUCCAACUAGGGCAACAAGCACCCAGAAUGUACAUCCAUUAACAACUGGAUACAACAUGGAGCUAUGAAAAAAUAGCUGGAGUGUCCAUGCAGGAAUUAUAGCUCUGAAGAACCAUAUUUUGCAUCUAUAGAAUGGUGAACACAGCACACAACACUGCACAGUACAGGUCUGGCAGUAAGGAGGGUCUAGAAGAAUUAAACCAGCCUUCGGAAUGAGUGAAAUAGCUGGGAUAAGACGUAACAGCAUACCCGGAUGUUCGGAAACAAGCCAGUAUCUGUGGGAAAAAGAGUUUGUAUGGAAACUGAAUAAGAACAGGUUGUGCAAUCUGCAAUCGGCAUGUCUAUAUCUAUGGGCCAAAUUCAGAGGUAUGCACAAAUCCUGCGGCAACUGCAAAUUAGUACCAGGCGAUCUGCAAACACAUGCAAAAGUUGCAGCCUCAGGGAUUUGUAAAGAGGCGCCAACUACCUGCAACUGAAAGACACCACCUGCAUAUGAAGAUGCCGCUUUUGGUUGCAUUGGAGUCACACUGGUUGCUCCCAAUGUCUGCCAUAAGUAAGACACCGGAGCCAUUACAACUACGAAUGAAUUUGCAGACUCAGGUGCAUCCCAGUAAUGGACAUGACACACCUGUAUUUGACUAGCCACUCCCCCAUUACCUUCCCCAACCGGUCUCUACCUGUCACUCACUUGUAAA